rnacentral:rRNA from 1 species
GCCUAUGCUCGAAUACAUUAGCAUGGAAUAAUAGAAUAGGACGUGUGGUUCUAUUUUGUUGGUUUCUAGGACCGCCGUAAUGAUUAAUAGGGACAGUCGGGGGCAUCAGUAUUCAAUUGUCAGAGGUGAAAUUCUUGGAUCUAUUGAAGACUAACUACUGCGAAAGCAUUUGCCAAGGAUGUUUUCAUUGAUAAGGAACGAAAGUUAGGGGAUCGAAGACGAUCAGAUACCGUCGUAGUCUUAACUAUAAACUAUGCCGACUAGGGAUCGGACGAUGUUAUUUUUUGACGCGUUCGGCACCUUUCGAGAAAUCAAAGUGCUUGGGCUCCAGGGGGAGUAUGGUCGCAAGGCUGAAACUUAAAGAAAUUGACGGAAGGGCACCACCAGGGGUGGAACCUGCGGCUUAAUUUGACUCAACACGGGGAAACUCACCAGGUCCAGACACAGUGAGGAUUGACAGAUUGAGAGCUCUUUCUUGAUUCUGUGGGUGGUGGUGCAUGGCCGUUCUUAGUUGGUGGAGUGAUUUGUCUGCUUAAUUGCGAUAAC